rnacentral:misc_RNA from 1 species
UUUGUGUAAGGUUUGAGAUUUGAAUUUCCUUUUUGUCAUUUUUACUUCUUUUUAGUUAGUGAAAAACUUAGGUUGUCCUUCUUGGCAUUUGAGUGAGGUGUAAAAUCAGAUUGCGGAUAUAUACUCAGGAAGAUUGGUUCCCAUAGAUGUGUUGUGCAUCUCCGGCGAGGCAUGCCAGUGGUAGUACACUUAAAAAUAGGGUAUUAAUUUUUUCUAUUUUGUCUUUUUGAGUAAUGCCUGAAGAAGGUGCUGGUUGGUGUCUCUCUUCUCUUUAUUUGGGAUUUAUCUGUCUACCAGAUUGUAUGCCAGUUUCUGUUUGAUCUACUUGUGUGAAACAUUAAGGGAUUCUCUUUCAUGUUCCCCUGCAAAUAAGUUACAAAUAUUCUGAUUCAU